UGUUGGAAACGUCAUUGUACUAUUCAAAAUCAAAAUGGUUUCGUUUUAACAUCAUACAGUUCUCGUUGUCAAUCUUAAUAGCUAAAACCAUGCAUACAAUUGGAAUAGCUGAAAAUCUUAAAUAACAUCCAACAAUUCUGCAGCUUCCAAUAUGCAGCUUCAUCAGGAGGACCAGAUGCGGCGGUUAACUAACAUAUAGCACCGUAUACAAACAACUUCAGAAAACAAUGAAGCAAAAUUGGAUUGUUUGUGUAGGAUUUCAUCGGGAAACAGUUAGCUGCGAACACAGAUGACGAUGAAAGCAAAAAUAUUAGAUGUUCAAAGAUGAAGACAAGUCAUGUGGUUACAGAAUUAUGGAUAGCUUUCAUAGGUAUCCACGUGGUUACAGACUAAUAAAAAUUUUGGUACCAGAUAUGUGGGCAGAAACUAACCUUGGGAGAGCGUAAUAGCACACAAAAAGAAAGUCAACGGUCCCAGGGGAAGGGAGGAUGAAGAUGGAGCUUUUAAUCUAACGACGGAAGGUACGAAAACAGUGACGAAGGUUGGGAUUGGUUGGCUAGUGCUUCGACCGGUUGGAGGAUAAAGUUUAGAGGGUGGAUCUACGAUUCCGACGGGCUAAAGAGGAAUAUUUUGUUUGUUAAUGUUACGAUGAGGUGGAGGGGGAAUGUUUAGACAAUGGGAUGAAGAUUUUGC
rnacentral:lncRNA from 1 species